UUUUAUGGAUAAGCAAAGAAAGUGGUUUCUUGAGAUAGAAUCUAUUCUUGGUCAAAAUGCUGUGAA
rnacentral:pre_miRNA from 1 species